UUGUAUCCAAGUGUGAUGGGAGAGAAUCCAAUCUUGUGUAUGGUUCAAAUUGUUGGAGAGCCAAAAUAGGAAUUUGAAUGGAUGGAGCAGAAAGAGCUUUAGCUUCUGGGCAGGAAAACGAAGCAUCUAAUAGUGAGGGAGAUAUCGUGAGUCCAACGGUUGAUUGAUCUAAGGUCUGGUGAGUGGGCAAUUGUGUCUAGUUUGUAUGUGUGUG
rnacentral:lncRNA from 1 species